ACUGGGCGUAAGCGUGCGCAGGCGGUUUUGUAAGACAGGCGUGAAAUCCCCGGGCUCAACCUGGGAAUGGCGCUUGUGACUGCAAAGCUGGAGUGCGGCAGAGGGGGAUGGAAUUCCGCGCGUAGCAGUGAAAUGCGUAGAUAUGCGGAGGAACACCGAUGGCGAAGGCAAUCCCCUGGGCCUGCACUGACGCUCAUGCACGAAAGCGUGGGGAGCAAACAGGAUUAGGUACCCUGGUAGUCCACGCCCUAAACGAUGUCAACUGGUUGUUGGGUCUCUUCUGACUCAGUAACGAAGCUAACGCGUGAAGUUGACCGCCUGGGGAGUACGGCCGCAAGGUUGGAACUCAAAGGAAUUGACGGGGACCCGCACAAGCGGUGGAUGAUGUGGUUUAAUUCGAUGCAACGCGAAAAACCUUACCCACCUUUGACAUGUACGGAAGUUGCCAGAGAUGGCUUCGUGCUCGAAAGAGAGCCGUAACACAGGUGCUGCAUGGCUGUCGUCAGCUCGUGUCGUGAGAUGCUGGGUUAAGUCCCGCAACGAGCGCAACCCUUGUCAUUAGUUGCUACGAAAGGGCACUCUAAUGAGACUGCCGGUGACAAACCGGAGGAAGGUGGGGAUGACGUCAAGUCCUCAUGGCCCUUAUAGGUGGGGCUACACACGUCAUACAAUGGCUGGUACAAAGGGUUGCCAACCCGCGAGGGGGAGCCAAUCCCAUAAAGCCAGUCGUAGUCCGGAUCGCAGUCUGCAACUCGACUGCGUGAAGUCGGAAUCGCUAGUAAUCGUGGAUCAGCAUGUCACGGUGAAUACGUUCCCGGG
rnacentral:rRNA from 1 species